CGGGUCUAGUGGCGCACGGGUGCGUAACGCGUGGGAAUCUGCCCUUGGGUUUGGAAUAACAGUUAGAAAUGACUGCUAAUACCAAAUGAUGUCUUCGGACCAAAGAUUUAUCGCCCAAGGAUGAGCCCGCGUAGGAUUAGGUAGUUGGUGGGGUAAGAGCCUACCAAGCCGACGAUCCUUAGCUGGUCUGAGAGGAUGAUCAGCCACACUGGGACUGAGACACGGCCCAGACUCCUACGGGAGGCAGCAGUGGGGAAUAUUGGACAAUGGGCGAAAGCCUGAUCCAGCAAUGCCGCGUGAGUGAUGAAGGCCUUAGGGUUGUAAAGCUCUUUUACCCGGGAAGAUAAUGACUGUACCGGGAGAAUAAGCCCCGGCUAACUCCGUGCCAGCAGCCGCGGUAAUACGGAGGGGGCUAGCGUUGUUCGGAAUUACUGGGCGUAAAGCGCACGUAGGCGGCUUGGUAAGUUAGAGGUGAAAGCCCGGAGCUCAACUCCGGAAUUGCCUUUAAGACU
rnacentral:rRNA from 1 species